rnacentral:rRNA from 1 species
GACGAACGCUGGCGGCGUGCUUAACACAUGCAAGUCGAACGGAAAGGCCAGGAUUUUGUGGGGUGCUCGAGAGGCGAACGGGGGAGUAAAACGCGAGUAACAUGCACUUGAAUUAGGGAUAAAACUAGGAAAAAGGGGAUAAAAUAGGAUAGGAGAUCCUGCAGCACGGGGGGGGUUGGAAAGAUACGGCGGUUGGGGAUGGACUCGCGGCUUAUCCGCUGGUUGGUGGGGUAGUGGAGUACAAAGGCUACGACGGGUAGCCGGCCUUAGAGGUUGACCGGCCUCAUUGCGACUGCGAUACGGCCCAGUCUCCUACGUUCGGCAGCGGUCGAGAAUCUUGCGCAGUGGGCCGGCGCCUGUUGCAGCGACCCCGCGAUCGUGAUGACGUCCUUCUGGUUAUAAACCGCUUUCGCCUUUGCCGAAGCGUGAUUGACGGUAAUGGGUAAAAAAGCACCGGCUAACUACGUG